UGUGAAGAUUGAAGAAACAUUCACAGUCAAACAGGAAGAUCUGCAGGAACAAACAGAUCUAAUUGAAGAGAAUAAGGGGAGUAAAGAAGAGGAACAUCAUGUCAAAAUUGAGGAAAAAACUCAUUUACAGACUGAUGGUAUUUUGAAAAAAAGAGACGAAAAUCGUUUCACCUGCACUCAAUGUGGAAGGAAUUUUGGAAGAAAAGGCGAUCUUAAGAUUCACAUGAGGAUCCACACUGGAGAGAAACCAUACAUAUGCACUCAGUGUGGGAAGAGUUUCAGCAUAUCAUCAAACCUUAAUCAACACAUGAGGAUCCACACUGGAGAGAAACCAUUCACAUGCACUCAGUGUGGGAAAAGCUUUAGCCAAUCAUCACACCUUAAUUACCACAUGAUGAUCCACGCUGGAGAGAAACCAUCCACAUGCUCACAGUGUGGGAAGAGUUUCAGUUGCUUAUCUCACCUUAAUAAACACAUGAGGAUCCACACUGGAGAGAAACCAUUCUCAUGCACUCAGUGUGGGAAGAGUUUCAGACACUCAUUAUUUCUUAAACAACACAUGAGGAUCCACACUGGAGAGAAACCAUUCACAUGCACUCUCUGUGGGAAGAGUUUCAGCCAAUCAUCAUCCCUUAAUCACCACAUGAGGAUCCACACUGGAGAGAAACCAUACACUUGCACUCAGUGUAGGAAGAGUUUCAGACGCUCAUCAUCUCUUAAAGAACACAUGAGAAUCCACUCUGGAGAGAAACCAUUCACAUGCACUCGGUGUGGGAAGAGUUUCAUACAAUCAUCACAACUUAACCGACACAUGAGGAUCCACACUGGAGAGAAACCAUUCACUUGCACCUAAUGUGGAAAGAGUUUUGGAAGAAAACACAAUCUUAAGAUUCACAUGAGGAUCCACACUGGAGAGAAACCAUUCAAAUGCACUCAAUGUGAGAAAAGUUUUAACCGCUCAUCAGACCUUCAUCAACAUAUGAGGAUUCACACUGGAGAGAAACCAUUCACAUGCACUCAGUGUGGGAAGAGUUUCAGCCAAUCAUCACACCUUAAUCAACACAUGAUGAUCCUCACUGGAGAGAAACCAUUCAUUUGUUUAACCUGCACUCAGUGUGGAAAGAGUUUGGCAAGCAAAAGCAAACUAAAGACUCACAUGAGGAUCCACACUGGAGAGAAACCAUUCACAUGCUAUCAAUAUGGGAAGAGUUUCAGCAAAUCAUCACUUUAUAGACACAAGAAGAUCCACACCGGUAAAAAAACAUUCACUUGCACUCAGUGUGGGAAGAGUUUUAACUGCUCAUCACACCUUAAUCAACACAUCAGGAUCCACACUGGAGAGAAACCAUUCAGAUGCACUCAGUGUGGGAAGAGUUUUAACUGCUCAUCACACCUUAAUGAACACAUGAUGAUCCACACUGGAGAGAAACCAUUCACAUGCCCUCAGUGUGGGAAGAGUUUUAGCAAAUCAUCGUCGCUUUAUAGACACAUGAAGAUCCACACUGGAGAAAAACCAUUCACUUGCACUGAGUGUAGGAAGAGUUUCAGCCAAUCAUCAUCCCUUAAUCUACACAUGAGGAUCCACACUGGAGAGAAACCAUUCACAUGCACUGAGUGUGGGAAGAGUUUCAGUAAAUCAUCAUCGCUUUAUACACACAUGAAGAUCCACACCGGAGAAAAACCAUUCACUUGCACUGAGUGUGGGAAGAGUUUCAUCCAAUCAUCAUGCCUUAAUGUACACAUGAGGAUCCACACUGGAGAGAAACCAUUCACAUGCACUCAGUGUGGGAAGAGUUUUAACAGCUCAUCACACCUUAAUCAACACCUUAUGAUUCACACUAGAGAGAAACCAUUCAAAUGCACUCAGUGUGGGAAGAGUUUGAGCCAAUCAUACCUUAAAAAACACAUGAAGAUUCACACUGGUGUGAGAGAGUAUAUGUGCUUGGAGUGUGAGAAGACUUUUAUUACAGCUGCAGAAUUGAAACGGCACCAGAGGAUUCACACUGGAGAAAAACCGUACAAGUGUUCACAGUGCAGUAAGAGGUUUGCUCACUCAGGAACCCUGAAAACACAUGAGAGGAUUCACACUGGAGAGAAACUGUACAAGUGUUCACACUGCAGUAAGAGGUUUGCUCACUCAGGAACCCUGAAAGCACAUCAGAGGAUUCACACUGGAGAUAAACUAGACAAGAAUCAUUUCACCUGCACUCAGUGUGGAACGAGUUUUGGAAGAAAAAGGGAUCUUAAGAUUCACAAGAGGAUCCACACUGGAAAGAAACCAUUCACAUGCACUCAGUGUGGGAACAGUUUUAACAGCUCAUCACACCUUAAUCAACACAUGAGGAUCCACACUGGAGAGAAACCAUUCACAUGCACUCAGUGUGAGAAGAGUUUCAGCCAAUCAUCAAACCUUAAUCUACACAUGAGGAUCCACACUAGAGAGAAACCAUUCACUUGCACUCAGUGUGGGAAGAAUUUCAACCAAUCAUCAAAUCUUAAUCGACACAUGAGGAUCCACACUGGAGAGAAACCAUUCACAUGCACUCAGUGUGGGACGAGUUUCAUCCGCUCAUCAUCCCUUAAUCUACACAUUAUGAGCCACAAUGGAGAGAAACCAUUCACAUGCACUCAGUGUGGGAAGAGUUUUAAUCGUUCAUCACACCUUAAUCGACACAUGAUGAUCCACACUGGAGAGAAACCAUUCACAUGCACUCAGUGUGGAAUGAGCUUCAGCCAAUCAUCAAACCUUAAUCUACACAUGAGGAUCCACACUGGAGAGAAACCAUUCGCAUGCCCUCAGUGUGGAAUGAGUUUCAGCCAAUCAUCAAACCUUAAUCUACACAUGAGGGUCCACACUGGAGAAAAACCAUUCACAUGCCCUCAGUGUGGGAAGAGUUUUAACAGCUCAUCACACCUUAAUCGACACAUGAGAAUCCACACUGGAGAGAAACCAUUCACUUGCAAAUAAUGUGGGAAGAAUUUCAACCAAUCAUCACACCUUAAUCAACACAUGAGGAUCCACACUGGAGAGAAACCAUUCACAUGCACCCAGUGUGGGAAGAGUUUCAGCUACUCAGCAAACCUUAAUCAACACAUGAGGAUCCACACUGGAGAGAAACCAUUCACAUGCACCCAGUGUGGGAAGAGUUUCAGCAACUCAGCAAACCUUAAUCAACACAUGAGGAUUCACACUGGAGAGAAACCAUUCACAUGUACUCAGUGUGGGAAGAGUUUCAGCCAAUCAUCAUACCUUAAUCAACACAUGAGGAUCCACACUGGAGAGAAACCAUUCACAUGCAGUCAGUGUGGAAAGAGUUUCAGCCAAUCACCAUACCUUAAUCAACACAUGAGGAUCCACACUGGAGAGAAACCAUUCACAUGCAGUCAGUGUGGGAAGAGUUUCAGCCAAUCAUCAUCCCUUUAUCUACACAUGAGGAUACACACUGGAGAGAAACCAUUCACAUGUACUCAGUGUGGUAAGAGUUUCAGCAAAUCAUCAAACCUUAAUAUACACAUGAGGAACCACACUGGAGAGAAACCAUUCACAUGCCUUCAGUGUGGGAAGAGUUUUAGCCAAUCAACAUCCCUUAAUCUACACAUGAGGAUACACACUGGAGAGAAACCAUUCACAUGUACUCAGUGUGGUAAGAGUUUCAGCCAAUCAUCAAACCCUAAUAUACACCAGAGGGUUCACACUGGAGAAAAACCGUACAAGUGUUCACAGUGCAGUAAGAGGUUUACUCGCUCAGGAACCCUGAAAACACAUGAGAGGAUUCACACUGGAGAGAAACUGUAGACAUGAUCAGUGUGUACAAAGUUUCACUUAAUCAGGGCAGCUUAAGAAACACAUGGGAUGGUUUCUGGUAAGGCGCCGACACAUGUAGCAGCAUAGAAAGAGCGCUUCCAUACACACUGGUAUUAAUCCUCCUUUUUACAUCAUAUAUAAUAACCUAAACCAUAUUUAAAUGACAUGGAGGAGGGACAAAAACAAAAAGGCUAGGACAAAACAAUCAGUUAAUCCUGAAAAAAAUGAGAAAUCAACAGAUGAAAAAUCCAAGACGGACGGGAUAGCUGAUAGCCUGUCACCUAUCAUUGCAGCAAUAUUUACAGACAUCAAAGCUUUCCAGAAGAAUAUUAAAUCUGAUUUAACCGCCUUCCAAGAUUCUCUCGCAAAAGAUGUGAAAAUGGAAUUAAGUAACUGUAAACAAGAAGUCAAUCAACAACUGGAUGACCUUAUCACGGACCUAAAUGCAACGACAGAAAAGGUCAACGAAGUGGAGCAGCGAGUUGGAGAAUUUUGGAGGAGAACAUUGCAGAGAUGAAAGAAAUGCUCAAUCAAUCCAUUCAAAUACAAGAAAAUUUAAAAGAGAAACUGUGAGAUAUAGAAAAACGCUCCCGUAGAAAUAAUAAUCAGAUUUUUGGAAUCCCGGAAGGAAGCAUUCUGAAUGAAAAGGGAAUUAAGUUCUAAACACCACCGCCGGCAAGACUUAAAAUCUUUUUGGAAAACAAAGGACCUGGUCCUCCGCUUUGCAUGGAGAAAAAAAUUAAUACACUGAAAUAAAAAAAGAGUUUUCUUUGACCAAGACUACCCACCUGAGAUCCAACAGAAAAGACGGGCUUUUGCUCCGAAAAGAAAAAUUCUGAAUGAAAAGGGGAUUAAGUUCCAAACACCGAAUCUUUCUGGAAAGCAGGGCGGUCAUGUACAAUUUGAUGACGGAGGCAUCAAGAGAAAGUCUGAAAGAAAAAGGACUGAUAAACAGCGAAGAAGAAACUAUUAUAGGAAUCCCUGGGAAAGAGAAACAAAGACCUUGGCAAAAGGUUGGAGUGACAU